rnacentral:lncRNA from 1 species
UGCAUCUCAAAAUUAGUUUUUUGUGUAGCAUGAGGUAAGGAUUGAGACUAAUCUUUUUCCAUAUGUCCAUCUAAUUUUUCCAGCACCAUUUAUUGAAAAGAUUUUUCUUUCCUAUAUAAUUUCCUAUAGUAGCAUUAAGACUAAUAUGGCUAUGUACUUGUUUAGGAUGCCCUUGAACUCCUGUAGGUUGGGAUGAUGACCACUGGUAUGCCUCAUUAUCAAAAGUGUCAAAUUCCUGCUGCCUCAUGUCAUUGGCUACUUGCACAUAAUAAUUUUGUCUAUCUUCAGGGUUCUGGUUUUCCUUCUCUUUCUCUUCUUCACAAUUUGGGUAAUAGUCAUCUUUGCAGCCAUCAGAUUCCUAGCUGUUCAUAUUCAGAGGUAUCUUGAUGUGAUGGGAUACUUUGUUUACCCCCUUCGCAGGCAGGAACUGGAGUGGUUCUUUCACUCUGCCCACCGCUGGCCACUCCUCCGCUCAGGAGGGAGGGUGCGAGCGAGCAAGUGCAGGAACUGAAGCGAACAAACACUGGAACUGGCCAGAGUCCAAGCAUGUUAUGACCAAUACUCUGUCAGAUCAGCCGUCCAGGGACAGGGGAGUGCCAACCAGCUCACUGGAGGGUCAAGGUGGCAGCCUCUGACCUCUCAGCACCCAGGUUCUUGUCCAGCAUCCAGGAAGAAUCAAGUCACAUGAACUGUUUGAGAGGUUGAUGAAUGCAGAAGACUUUAUUGAGCAGUGGUUGGCUCUCAGCAGAAAAGGAGACUGAAAAGCGGUCGGGAAAAUGAUCUCUCUCUCCCUGAAGCCCGGCUGCCCCUCUCUGAAGCAGCCCUGUCUGAAGUUAGCCACAUCUAUCCAUAGUCUCCAACGUUCAGUUGCUUCUCUGCUCGCUGCUCAGCCACUUGUGUUGCUCUGCCAGCUGAAGUCUUCUAUGGGCACAGGAUAGGAGCAUGGCAGGCCAAAAAGGUAACUUCAUCUUGACAUUCUGCAAAACAUAAUUCUGGUCGACUACAUGAGUGGCAUGAUGCUAAUGUGACUUAUGAGCAAGAAGUGGCAAAUACCCUACAUGCCCAAGUAAGUACAUAGUGAGAAAUAAUUCCAUAGAGAUUCAGAGGCCUACCAUAUUGUUGAAAUUUUGAAGAAUACAACAAUCCAAUACAUGUGUUAUAAGGUAAAGACGGGUGGUAGAAUAUUGCGCCAUCUAUGAUAAAUAAAGAGGCAUAGGCCAAGCAUGGUGGCUCACACCUGUAAUCCCAGCACUUUGGGAGGCCAAGGCUGGAGGAGUAGGAGUUUAAGACUUAAACUCACUUGAGCGUAGGAGUUUAAGACUAGCCUGGACAACAUGGCAAAACUCUGUCUCCACAAAAAAUACAAAAAUUUGCCAGGCAUGGUAGUGUGCACCUGUAGUCCCAGCUACUUGGGAGGCUGAGGUGGAAGGAUUGCUUAAGCCUGGGAAGUGUAGUUUGCAGUGAGCAGUGAGCUGUGAUUGCACUUGCACUCCAGCCUGGGUGACAAAGCAAGACCCUGUCUUAAAAAAAAAAAGAAGGAAAGGGAAGAAGAGGAGGGGAGGGGAGGGGAGGGAAGAGGAGAGGGGAGGGAAAGAAAGAAAAAGAAAGAGGCAUAAUGGUUUCUGGGUUUCUUUGGAUUUUGGAGAAAGCAAAUACUAUAUACUUUGAGUGGGGACCAGAACUACAAGCAGGUCAAGACAAU